rnacentral:rRNA from 1 species
CCUACGGGGUGCAGCAGUGAGGAAUAUUGGUCAAUGGGCGCGAGCCUGAACCAGCCAUGCCGCGUGAAGGAUGACUGCCCUACGGGUUGUAAACUUCUUUUAUAAAGGAAUAAAGUGAGGUACGUGUGCCUUUUUGUAAGUACUUUAUGAAUAAGGAUCGGCUAACUCCGUGCCAGCAGCCGCGGUAAUACGGAGGAUCCGAGCGUUAUCCGGAUUUAUUGGGUUUAAAGGGAGCGUAGGUGGGUUGUUAAGUUAGAGGUGAAAUUUUGCGGCUCAACCGUAAAAUUGCAAUUGAUACUGGUAGUCUAGAGUGCAGUUGCGGUAGGCGGAAUGCGUGGUGUAGCGGUGAAAUGCUUAGAGAUCAUGAAGAACUCCGAUUGCGAAGGCAGCUUACUAAACUGCAACUGACAUUGAUGCACGAAAGUGUGGGUAGCAAACAGGAUUAGAUACCCUAGUAGUC